rnacentral:lncRNA from 1 species
CCAGCUGCCGCCUCCAGGGGCCUGUCCCUCUGCAGGUCCCCAGCUCUGUCUCUCCCUCCCUCUCCUGCUCAGGCUGAGACUUGUGUUUUCCCGGGGAAGCCAACUCCAAGACCCUCUCUCCUGAGUCCCUGCCCGGAUAACAGGCUCUCUCCUUGGAAUGUUUUCCCUACAAUCCUCAUGAGAACACGGCCCUGGAGGUGGCCAUGCCCCCUUCCAUCCCUUCUUACCGCUGCAAAUGCAAACUUGGCUGUUUUGCACAUCCUGGGUUUGAAUUCUGUCUCCAUCACUUCCCAGCUAUGUGACCUUGAGCAAGUUACUCAACCUCUCCAUGCCUCUGACUCCUCUACCAAGAGGGGAUAAUAACAUACCUACCUCCCUGGAACUGUGCUGUGAGGCCUCAAUGGAAACCAAGCAAAGCACUUAGAACCCUGCCUGCCUAAGUGUUAGUAAUGGCUGCCCAGACCACCUGUCCAGCGGUUAGAGCUCAGGACCCAUGUGACAGGCUCUGAAGCUGCAGCCCCACAACGGAUGGCUACCUCUGCACAGGGAAAGACCUGGAUGCUCUAUUCAUUCAACAGAAUACAGAAGGCACUGGGAAUAGAGUGAACAAUGACAACCAAUGCACAGCUGCCCACAAGGUGGGCUCCUGGGGGAGGGUCAUCCCUCUGAGAAGAGGGCGGCACCAAGACCCA